ACGCUGAGGGGAUGUGUAAAAAGGAAUAAAGAGCGCUCAAAAAGUGGCUCCGGGCGUUGUGUCUUUGCGGAGGGAUAAGUUGUAGCCAGCCGGGCUCUGGUGGAGGAAAAGGAGGAGGAGCAGGCGACGUUUUCUUGCUGCCGGCGCCACGACUCGGCUUCUCCGGGAAUGGCAGGGAAAGGAGUCACAACACAGCUCUGGGAAAGGAAGGUGUGGAUCUGUCUGAUCCUAGCAGGUGUGGGAGUGAAAGGAGAAGAUAAAAAAUGCAAAAUUCAAGGCUACAAGAAAGAAGACAACACCUGCCUUGACAGAUAUGACAGGAUGUGGACGAGUUCUCCCAGAACAUGUAAAAAGUGCAUUUACAGAAUGUAUUUAAUAAAGAGAAAAUCCUGAUUGUGCAGCAAUCCUGAAAAUUCUGUAAAUUCACACCAGAAAUGGAUGGUGAAAGGAUAAAUUGGAGAUCAAAAGGAGCCCUGGGGUUCCAGCAUCCACUGAGGCUUUAUUUGCCCAAAUCCAAAUCCCAGAAGUUUCUUGCUAACACUGGGGAGAAGCUUCUGGCCAGUUUUCCUGUACAAGCCACAAUUCACUUCUACAAUGAUGAUGCUGAGUCUGAGGAAGAGGAAGAGCCUUGAAAGACCCAGAAUCCACAUUAAAAAAAUGAAGAAUUUCAAAGGGAACCAUCAGGAAUGGAUGUACAAACAUCUGACCAAACAGAGAAAUCUGGCAGAACUCAAAAGGAAAUUAUUUAUAAUUCUCUUUCCAAGGAAAAUGAGUCAAAGCACCGGAAAAUGGGAGGAAAUCCUUUUGUGUUUUUAGAGACUUUCACAAAAGGCUUAAAUCAGGUUCAUUUCAGUAGCCCAGAUAAAGAAAAUUGGGAGCACUGUACUGAGUCUUUAUUUUAAAUACUACAGUCCUGAGAAAAUGAAAAAUUCAUUGAUUAUGAGGCUGAAUAAUGUAAUGUACAGCCCCAAAACAACCCAAAGACUUUGAAACACACUGAAAUUAGGCAAGGAAUUAUUUAAAUGUUGCUUACUGGCUACAUGGGAUGUAUUUUUUCUGCUAGAAAUGCUGAAUGCCCAGCUGGCCUCACCCAUUUUCAGUACAACACAGGUUCUACCCAACAUUUGUGAUAUUUCCUGGGGUUCUGCCAUUCUCUUCUUAUCAAUUUUCCCUCCUGUAACCUUUUGCCAGCCAGGAAAAAAAAAUCAGCCUUGAUUAAAACCCACAUUUUAAUUUAAUACCACAUUAAAACUUGCAUUAUGUGGCACCUGCUUUUCCUUCCCCACAAUGUUUUUUUCACGCUCAGAGAGUUUCUCAGCACUUGCCUUGCUACCAGAACCUCUAAACACCUCAAAUAUUAAAUAUUUGCCCCCACUAGGUUUAAAAUCUUUUAUUUUUAAUGCUCCUUAACUCCAACCAAAACUGCCAUGGUUUAAAAUGAGAAGCUUGACUCAGCUAAUAAAUCAAGCAGCAAUUCAAUUUAUUAAUUAACAUGGUAACCUGUGAGCAAAGACAGCGCUGAGUGCAGUGGUGGGGGAAAAACUGCACACUGAUUGUUGGGCUUGCUGGUAUUUAUUGAUCAUAUUCAUGCAUAUUCAUAAGCUUUUCCUAGAAGUUUCUAUUUCCCAUUUCUUCCAUCAGCUUUCUGCAGUUUCCAUUUCCCAAUUUUUACGUGAGCUUUCAGCAGUUUCCAUUUCUACCUUUUGACGUCACAAUUCUAUGCUUUUUAUUUUUUAUUCUGUGCUUAUUCUAGGAUCAUCAAUCUAUGAUGGUGAUGCUGGUUCCUUUCCAAUUUCUGUACUCUGCUGUGUGCAUCCCAGGAUGUGUGUGCACGUGGUGGGGUCCAACUUCUGUUUUCUAAGAUCAUUAAUCUAUGGUAGUGAUGUCCAGCUUCCCCUUUUGAAAUCAUUAAGCAACAACCUUGAUGUCUAUCUUCCUUCUCCAGGAGCUUGGGAUAGAGUCACUUCCCUUUUUGUUUAAAUCCUUUAUACAUUCUAAAGCUACAGUUUAAACUCCUUAGUACUCAGCAACAUUCUAAAGUCAUAAUUCAAAAAUUCUUGUUACAAAACAACUCAAGACUCAUACAUUUUAAAGCUACACUUUAAAAUCCUUAAUACUAAGCAACAUUCUAAAGUUAUAAUUCAAAAGUUCUUAUUGCAAAGCAGCUUAAGACUUAUAAUUGUUAUUUGCAAACAAAAGAUUGGUUCAAAAGCCUUCUUCCAUGCUUCCCUUGGUUGUUUAUCAGAACUCAUCUUUAUAGCUCAUAGUCCCAUGUCUGUGCUCCACACAUUUCACAAUUACAAUGACACAGUUUGCCUUUAUUUACCUGACACGAACCACAACUUUGUAUUUCACACCACAGACAAAGCAGAAUUCCAGAUUUUUGAUGUUUCCUGCACCUCAGGUGGUUGUGAGAUAAGGUCAGACACUUUUCAGAAGCCCUGGAAGUGUGUCCCAGCUCCUCCUCUCAGUCAGGUACUAGCAAACAAAGGAGUGCCACACAUUUUAAGUCUGGAAAAAUUCAGAUUCCAAAU
rnacentral:lncRNA from 1 species